UACAUGGGGUGCAAACGUUGCUCGGAAUUAUUGGGCGUAAAGCGCACGUAGGCGGUUCGUUAAGUCGGAUGUGAAAGCCCUCGGCUCAACUGAGGAAGUGCACCCGAAACUGGCGAGCUUGAGUACGAAAGAGGAUCGCGGAAUUCCCGGUGUAGAGGUGAAAUUCGUAGAUAUCGGGAGGAACACCGGUGGCGAAGGCGGCUCACUGGCUCGUUUCUGACGCUCAGGCGCGACAGCGUGGGGAUCAAACAGG
rnacentral:rRNA from 1 species